CGCGAAGAACCUUACCAGGUCUUGACAUCUCCUGACAACCCUAGAGAUAGGGCGUUCCCCUUCGGGGGACAGGAUGACAGGUGGUGCAUGGUUGUCGUCAGCUCGUGUCGUGAGAUGUUGGGUUAAGUCCCGCAACGAGCGCAACCCUUGAUCUUAGUUGCCAGCAUUCAGUUGGGCACUCUAAGGUGACUGCCGGUGACAAACCGGAGGAAGGUGGGGAUGACGUCAAAUCAUCAUGCCCCUUAUGACCUGGGCUACACACGUGCUACAAUGGAUGGUACAAAGGGCUGCGAGACCGCGAGGUUAAGCGAAUCCCAUAAAACCAUUCUCAGUUCGGAUUGCAGGCUGCAACUCGCCUGCAUGAAGCCGGAAUCGCUAGUAAUCGC
rnacentral:rRNA from 2 species